rnacentral:miRNA from 1 species
GUGGGGAUCUGGCACUGUGGUUUCUGCAUAAAAAUAGUGGUUGGUGGUGCUUGGACCUACAACACCACUUCUGCUGUCACAGUCAAGUCUGC